GGCCCCCCUCCCCCUUACUCUUGGCAAGCGAAAGUGAAAGUGAAAGGCGGAGCUGAGUGGCUGGGAAAUUCCGGACAGAGCCUCCAGCAGCCAGAGACUCGUCUCGGGGGGCGACCUCCCACAGCUAAACAGCGUCUGAUCCGGACCUAGGUGUCCUAGGGGCUCUGCCUGGCCUGUUUGGACCCUGCCCGACCACCUGGAUGGGCUCCUCUCCCGACACCGACCGCAGGUGCCUGCUGCAGACCACCCUGGAUGAGGCACCCAAAAUCAACAACUGCAGCUCAACUGUGCACAACUGCCUGGCACUACGGGCCUGCCCCGGCUGUGGGGCUCUGGUGAGCCACACCCAGAAGGGCUGCCCCACGGUGUGGUGUGUUGAGUGCCCAUGCUCCUUCUGCUUCCGGUGCCUGAAAGUGGGUUACUGUGGGUACAAGGUCCCCCAGUGCCGCAUCAAGAAGAGGCAACAGCUGCUGGGCAAGCGAAGCAGCCAGCCCCAGCUGUGAGCCAGGAACAUCUUUGUGCCAAUGAGCAGGGGACAAACGGAUGAAGGGACAGACCCUCCUGCCCACCUGUCCUUUUUGGGGUCCUGGGAGACAAAUCAACUCUUGCCGUCAGCUUCGCCGUGGUGGCUACUGCCACUGCUGUGUUCAGGGACCCUGGGCUUUGGUCCCCCGGAGCCGAGAGAUGUUCCGACCAGGGCCAGGGCCCCAAGUGCCACCUCCACCGGCUCCGGCUGUGUCCCGGCCACCAGUUGGGGUGAAACGGGAAUCAGAUUUGAAUGGCUCCAGCCCAUGGCAAUGAACUUCUGCUCUUUGGCCCCGGGGGAAUCCCGUGGCCCGUUCUGGCACCCGCAGUUCCAGCAGGGUGGUGGUUAAAUCGGAGAAGGGCCAGAGAAGGAUUUGAAACCCUGCCCUCGCGUGAGAGAUUCCCAGAGCACACCUUUGAUGCACACUCUCUGACGUAACGGACAAAAUAAUGUCACCCAACGCCUGGGAGUUGAAGCUGGAUAUAAGGCAUCAAUUUGUCCCCACGUGUGUAAUUAGCUAGUGGAAAAAUUUCCCCAGGGGAUUCUCCAUCCCUGGUAACUCUUAAAGCGAGACGGGUGGCUGUUCUCACAGAUCUGCUCUGGUUCACACAGGGAUUACUUGAGGGCAGGGGGAACUCUCUGUUUUAGGGGGUCUGAUUAUGUUGAAUGAUGUAUGCCGGGGGGCUAGCCCGUGUAUAUCCCGUUCCCAAUGUGUACGGGAUGCGGCAGGCAUGUGUCGGGAUGCACUGAGCACACAACAGAGAUCUAAUGGCAGGUACGUACGCUAAAUUGGCCUGUGUGUUUUAUACAAUUCUGCUCACCUGUGCUAAGCGAUCCAUCACGCCCAGCGUUCACAGAAGCAUCUGGCCCGAGUCGAUCGUUAAUGGUUCGAAAUCGAACUAGAUUCAUCCUACAGCUUCAUACUGGCCGGGGAAGCCCCUUUGUUGCCCGGCCCCUGGAGCACUGGAAUCCAAAACCCAGCCAAGGAAGGAACAGAACCAGCGAGGGAACGGGGCCACACAGCUGGAUGAGGGAGUAGUGACAGCUCGCUUGUGAAAUUGUAGUAUAAAUAAAUGUCACGCAGGGAACGCACCUUCGAUACUGCACGGGCCGGCUUCCCGGAGACGGGACCGGAGAGAACGGUCGUCCUGCACUGUGGGAUUGCUCGUAGUGAUAAACCUGCCUGGCGCUGGUUAUUUGGUCUCUUGAGUGUGUUUCAUAUCAAGCCAAAGUGCGGUCAACACCUGACUCUGCAAUUUCUCAAGUCGCAAGGGUCCCCUCUGCCCUCAGACUCGAUGAAUACAACAUAUUGGCCGAAUA